GACAGAGGGUGCAAACGUUGUUCGGAAUUACUGGGCGUAAAGCGCGUGUAGGCGGCUAAGUAAGUCGGGCGUGAAAUCCCACGGCUCAACCGUGGAAGUGCACUCGAAACUGCAUAGCUAGAGUCCUGGAGAGGAAGGUGGAAUGCUUGGUGUAGAGGUGAAAUUCGUAGAUAUCAAGCGGAACACCGGUGGCGAAGGCGGCCUUCUGGACAGUGACUGACGCUGAGACGCGAAAGCGUGGGGGAGCGAACAGG
rnacentral:rRNA from 1 species